GACGAACGCUGGCGGCGUGCUUAACACAUGCAAGUCGAACGGAAAGGCCUUUUCGGAGGUACUCGAGUGGCGCACGGGUGCGUAACACGUGGGUGAUCUGCCCUGCACUCUGGGAUAAGCCUGGGAAACUGGGUCUAAUACCGGAUAGGACCGCACUUUAGUGUGUGUGGUGGAAAGUUUUUUCGGUGUAGGAUGAGCCCGCGGCCUAUCAGCUUGUUGGUGGGGUAAUGGCCUACCAAGGCGGCGACGGGUAGCCGGACUGAGAGGUUGGUCGGCCACAUUGGGACGGAGAUACGGCCCAGACUCCCACGGGAGGCAGCAGUGGGGAAUAUUGCACAAUGGGAGCAAGCCGGAUGCAGCGACGCCGCGUGGGGGAUGACGGCCUUCGGGUUGUAAACUCCUUUCGCCAGGGACGAAGCGUUUUGUGACGGUACCUGGAGAAGAAGCACCGGCUAACUACGUG
rnacentral:rRNA from 1 species